rnacentral:rRNA from 1 species
GACGAACGCUGGCGGCGUGCUUAACACAUGCAAGUCGAACGGAAAGGCCCUGCUUUUGUGGGGUGCUCGAGUGGCGAACGGGUGAGUAACACGUGAGUAACCUGCCCUUGACUUUGGGAUAACUUCAGGAAACUGGGGCUAAUACCGGAUAGGAGCUCCUGCUGCAUGGAGGGGGUUGGAAAGUUUCGGCGGUUGGGGAUGGACUCGCGGCUUAUCAGUUUGUUGGUGGGGUAGUGGCUUACCAAGGCUUUGACGGGUAGCCGGCCUGAGAGGGUGACCGGCCACAUUGGGACUGAGAUACGGCCCAGACUCCUACGGGAGGCAGCAGUGGGGAAUAUUGCACAAUGGGCGGAAGCCUGAUGCAGCAACGCCGCGUGCGGGAUGACGGCCUUCGGGUUGUAAACCGCUUUCGCCUGUGACGAAGCGUGAGUGACGGUAAUGGGUAAAGAAGCACCGGCUAACUACGUG